AGCGAACGCUGGCGGCAGGCCUAACACAUGCAAGUCGAACGAACUCUUCGGAGUUAGUGGCGGACGGGUGAGUAACACGUGGGAACGUGCCUUUAGGUUCGGAAUAACUCAGGGAAACUUGAGCUAAUACCGAAUGUGCCCUUCGGGGGAAAGAUUUAUCGCCUUUAGAGCGGCCCGCGUCUGAUUAGCUUGUUGGUGAGGUAAUGGCUCACCAAGGCGACGAUCAGUAGCUGGUCUGAGAGGAUGACCAGCCACAUUGGGACUGAGACACGGCCCAAACUCCUACGGGAGGCAGCAGUGGGGAAUCUUGCGCAAUGGGCGAAAGCCUGACGCAGCCAUGCCGCGUGGAUGAUGAAGGUCUUAGGAUUGUAAAAUCCUUUCACCGGUGAAGAUAAUGACUGUAGCCGGAGAAGAAGCCCCGGCUAACUUCGUGCCAGCCGCCGCAGUAAGAC
rnacentral:rRNA from 1 species